UUAAACCUCUUCCAGAGUAUCAAUUGGAGGGCAAGUCUGGUGCCAGCAGCCGCGGUAAUUCCAGCUCCAAUAGCGUAUAUUAAAAUUGUUGCAGUUAAAAAGCUCGUAGUUGAAUUUCUGCUGCAUUGCAUCUUCUUUUUGAUGAGUUGAUGUAUUGUGGCUUAUUUCGGAUGAUACUUGUAUUAUCCGGAUGAUUACUUUGAGAAAAUUAGAGUGCUCAAAGCAGGCUUUUGCCUUGAAUAGUUUAGCAUGGAAUAAUAAAGUAGGACUUUGGUUCUAUUUUGUUGGUUUUAGGUACCAAAGUAAUGGUUAAUAGGAACAGUUGGGGGCAUUCGUAUUUAACUGUCAGAGGUGAAAUUCUUAGAUUUGUUAAAGACGAACUACUGCGAAAGCAUUUGCCAAGGAUGUUUUCAUUAAUCAAGAACGAAAGUUAGGGGAUCGAAGACGAUCAGAUACCGUCGUAGUCCUAACCAUAAACUAUGCCGACUAGGGAUUGGAGGUCGUCAGUUUUUACGACUCCUUCAGCACCUUGAGAGAAAUCAAAGUCUUUGGGUUCUGGGGGGGAGUAUGGUCGCAAGGCUGA
rnacentral:rRNA from 1 species